rnacentral:lncRNA from 1 species
GCCAGAUCCUUGACCCACUGAGCGAGGCCAGGGACUGAACCCACAUCCUCAUGGAUACUAGUCAGGCUCUAGAUACUAGAUAAUAGAUUCUAGAUACUAGAUACUAGUACACUGAACCACAGUGGGAACACCGAGGUUCCUUUCUUGUGUAAAAUGAGCAGAUACACUUUCUCUUAUAAACUGAGGGUAUCUUGUCAUGUUUUCCAGGCCGUGAUAACUGUAGAUGAGCGGUGGACGCAUCCAUGGCCCAACAAGAGCAAGACGGUGAAGGGCUCAAAGCCUGUGGGUUCCUGCAUGAUUCCAGUUCAGCAGCUCAGAGUAACGGUAAGAACUCCCUCCUACCAAACGGUUUUCUAAACGAAGUCUUAUAACCAGUGCCCUUAGAGACGUGACUAUGCAGCGUAACCCUGGUCAUUCCCCC